rnacentral:rRNA from 1 species
UACGUAGGGGGCAAGCGUUAUCCGGAUUUACUGGGUGUAAAGGGAGCGUAGACGGCGAUGCAAGCCAGAUGUGAAAGCCCGGGGCUCAACCCCGGGACUGCAUUGGAAACUGCCCGGCUGGAGUGCGGGAGAGGUAAGCGGAAUUCCUAGUGUAGCGGUGAAAUGCGUAGAUAUUAGGAGGAACACCAGCGGCGAAGGCGGCUUACUGGACCGUGACUGACGUUGAGGCUCGCAAGCGUGGGGAGCAAACAGG